rnacentral:rRNA from 1 species
UUGUGAAAUUAUUUCCAAAUUUAUUAAAAUUACCUUUUGCAUAAUGGUUUAAUUAAUUUAUUAAAAGUUUUUUCUUCCCGAAAUAAGAAGAUCUAAUAAAAAAAUAAAAAUAUGUUUUAAAAUAUUUAGUUUAAUUUUUUAUUAGGUGUGAAAGGCUAAUCAAUUCUUAUUAUAUCUGGAUUAGAUCUAAAUGUAUUUAGUACAGGCUAAAAGCUGAUGAUCCCCCUGUUAAGGGGGGGAUCAAAAAGUACUUUUUUUUAACAAUUUUUAUUUAGGAUAAUUCUAUAAUAAUUUUAUCUUACUUUAAUUUAUUUAAAUCAAUUUCUUUCAGAUUAUUUCUUAAUUUUUUUUUACUCUUUAAAAUUUUUAUAAUGUUAAAAUAAGUAUUUGUUAUUAAUUUAAAUAUAGGAACUCGGCAAUUUUUUUUACUCAACUGUUUAUCAAAAACAUAGUUUUAUGAAAAUUAAUAUAAAAUGAAUUCUGCCCAAUGAAUUUUAAAUGGCCGCAGUACUUUAACUGUGCUAAGGUAGCAUAAUAAUUUGGCUUUUAAUUAAGGUCUGGUAUGAAAGGAUUUUAUGGGUAAUAGCUGUCUUUAUAUAAUUUCUAAAAAUUUACUUAAAAGGUGAAAAUUCCUUUAAUUUUAAAAUAGACGAGAAGACCCUAGGAGUUUUUUAUUUUGUUGGGGCGACAUUUUAGUAAAUUUAACCUAAAAAAAAUUUAACGAUUAUUUAAUUUUAAUUAAACUACCCUAGGGAUAACAGCAUAAUUAUUAAUUUG